rfam:Flavobacteriaceae bacterium CRH Contig04, whole genome shotgun sequence.
AAAGCGAUAUCCGAAAAGCUAAAGAGUAGGAA